CCUACGUGGUGCAGCAGUGGGGAAUAUUGCACAAUGGGGGAAACCCUGAUGCAGCGACGCCGCGUGAGUGAAGAAGUAUUUCGGUAUGUAAAGCUCUAUCAGCAGGAACGAGACAAGACGGUACCUGACUAAGAAGCCCCGGCUAACUACGUGCCAGCAGCCGCGGUAAUACGUAGGGGGCAAGCGUUAUCCGGAAUCACUGGGUGUAAAGGGAGCGUAGACGGCUGUGCAAGCCUGAAGUGAAAGGCGGGGGCCCAACCCCUGGACUGCUUUGGGAACUGUACGGCUGGAGUGCAGGAGAGGUAAGUGGAAUUCCUAGUGUAGCGGUGAAAUGCGUAGAUAUUAGGAGGAACACCAGUGGCGAAGGCGGCUUACUGGACUGUAACUGACGUUGAGGCUCGAAAGCGUGGGGAGCAAACAGGAUUAGAUACCCUGGUAGUC
rnacentral:rRNA from 1 species